UGGGGAAUUUUGGACAAUGGGCGAAAGCCUGAUCCAGCCAUGCCGCGUGAGUGAAGAAGGCCUUCGGGUUGUAAAGCUCUUUUAGUCGGAAAGAAAGAGUCGCAAUGAAUAAUUGUGAUUUAUGACGGUACCGACAGAAAAAGCACCGGCUAACUACGUGCCAGCAGCCGCGGUAAUACGUAGGGUGUGAGCGUUAAUCGGAAUUACUGGGCGUAAAGGGUGCGCAGGCGGUUUUGCAAGUCAGAUGUGAAAGCCCCGGGCUUAACCUGGGAAUUGCGUUUGAAACUACAAGGCUAGAGUGCAGCAGAGGGGAGUGGAAUUCCAUGUGUAGCAGUGAAAUGCGUAGAGAUGUGGAAGAACACCGAUGGCGAAGGCAGCUCCCUGGGUUGACACUGACGCUCA
rnacentral:rRNA from 1 species